rnacentral:rRNA from 1 species
UACGUAGGGUGCGAGCGUUGUCCGGAAUUAUUGGGCGUAAAGAGCUCGUAGGCGGUCUGUCGCGUCGGUCGUGAAAACUUGGGGCUUAACCCUGAGCUUGCGGUCGAUACGGGCAUGACUGGAGUUCGGCAGGGGAGACUGGAAUUCCUGGUGUAGCGGUGAAAUGCGCAGAUAUCAGGAGGAACACCGGUGGCGAAGGCGGAUCUCUGGGCCAGUACUGACGUGAGGAGCGAAAGCGUGGGGGAGCAAACAGG